AGUGAACGCUGGCGGUAGGCCUAACGCAUGCAAGUCGAACGGCAGCACAGGAGAGCUUGCUCUCUGGGUGGCGAGUGGCGGACGGGUGAGGAAUACAUCGGAAUCUACUCUGUCGUGGGGGAUAACGUAGGGAAACUUACGCUAAUACCGCAUACGACCUACGGGUGAAAGCGGGGGACCUUCGGGCCUUGCGCGAUUGAAUGAGCCGAUGUCGGAUUAGCUAGUUGGCGGGGUAAAGGCCCACCAAGGCGACGAUCCGUAGCUGGUCUGAGAGGAUGAUCAGCCACACUGGAACUGAGACACGGUCCAGACUCCUAUGGGAGGCAGCAGUGGGGAAUAUUGGACAAUGGGCGCAAGCCUGAUCCAGCCAUACCGCGUGGGUGAAGAAGGCCUUCGGGUUGUAAAGCCCUUUUGUUGGGAAAGAAAUCCAGCUGGCUAAUACCCGGUUGGGAUGACGGUACCCAAAGAAUAAGCACCGGCUAACUUCGUGCCAGCCGCCGCAGUAA
rnacentral:rRNA from 1 species